GUGGGGAAUCUUGCGCAAUGGGCGAAAGCCUGACGCAGCCAUGCCGCGUGAAUGAUGAAGGUCUUAGGAUUGUAAAAUUCUUUCACCGGGGACGAUAAUGACGGUACCCGGAGAAGAAGCUCCGGCUAACUUCGUGCCAGCAGCCGCGGUAAUACGAAGGGGGCUAGCGUUGCUCGGAAUUACUGGGCGUAAAGGGCGCGUAGGCGGACAGCUUAGUCAGAGGUGAAAGCCCAGGGCUCAACCUUGGAAUUGCCUUUGAUACUGGCUGUCUUGAGUUUGGGAGAGGUGAGUGGAACUCCGAGUGUAGAGGUGAAAUUCGUAGAUAUUCGGAAGAACACCAGUGGCGAAGGCGACAUACUGGCUCAUUACUGACGCUGAGGCGCGAAAGCGUGGGGAGCAAACAGGAUUAGAUACCCCAGUAGUCC
rnacentral:rRNA from 1 species